AGUGAACGCUGGCGGUAUGCCUAACACAUGCAAGUCGAACGGCAGCACAGUAAGAGCUUGCUCUUACGGGUGGCGAGUGGCGGACGGGUGAGGAAUACAUCGGAAUCUACUUUUUCGUGGGGGAUAACGUAGGGAAACUUACGCUAAUACCGCAUACGACCUACGGGUUAAAGCAGUGGAUCUUCGGACCUUUCGCGAUUGAAUGAGCCGAUGUCGGAUUAGCUAGUUGGCGGGGUAAAGGCCCACCAAGGCGACGAUCCGUAGCUGGUCUGAGAGGAUGAUCAGCCACACUGGAACUGAGACACGGUCCAGACUCCUACGGGAGGCAGCAGUGGGGAAUAUUGGGCAAUGGGCGCAAGCCUGAUCCAGCAAUACCGCGUGGGUGAAGAAGGACUUCGGGUUGUAAAGCCCUUUUGUUGGGAAAGAAAAGAAGCAGGUUAAUACCCCGCUGUUCUGACGGUACCCAAAGAAUAAGCACCGGCUAACUUCGUG
rnacentral:rRNA from 1 species